rnacentral:rRNA from 1 species
UCCCCUAGUAACUGCGAGUGAAGCGGGAAAAGCUCAAAUUUAAAAUCUGGUGGUCUUUGGCCAUCCGAGUUGUAAUCUAGAGAAGUGUUACCCGCGCUGGACCGUGUACAAGUCUCCUGGAAUGGAGCGUCAUAGAGGGUGAGAAUCCCGUCUUUGACACGGACUGCCAGGGCUUUGUGGUGCGCUCUCAAAGAGUCGAGUUGUUUGGGAAUGCAGCUCAAAAUGGGUGGUAAAUUCCAUCUAAAGCUAAAUAUUGGCGAGAGACCGAUAGCGAACAAGUACCGUGAGGGAAAGAUGAAAAGAACUUUGGAAAGAGAGUUAAACAGUACGUGAAAUUGCUGAAAGGGAAACGCUUGAAGUCAGUCGCGUUGGCCGGGAAUCAACCUUGCUUUUGCUGGGCGUACUUUCCGGUUGACGGGUCAGCAUCAGUUUUGACCAUUGGAAAAAGUCUAGAGGAAUGUGGCAUCUCCGGAUGUGUUAUAGCCUCUGGUCGCAUACGAUGGUUGGGACUGAGGAACUCAGCACGCCGCAAGGCCGGGUACUUGUACCACGUUCGUGCUUANGAUGCUGGCAUAAUGGCUUUAAUCGACCCGUCUUGAAACACGGA